UAGGGAAUCUUCGGCAAUGGGGGGAACCCUGACCGAGCAACGCCGCGUGAGUGAAGAAGGUUUUCGGAUCGUAAAGCUCUGUUGUUAAGGAAGAACGAGUGUGAGAAUGGAAAGUUCAUACUGUGACGGUACUUAACCAGAAAGGGACGGCUAACUACGUGCCAGCAGCCGCGGUAAUACGUAGGUCCCGAGCGUUGUCCGGAUUUAUUGGGCGUAAAGCGAGCGCAGGCGGUUAGAUAAGUCUGAAGUUAAAGGCAGUGGCUCAACCAUUGUAGGCUUUGGAAACUGUUUAACUUGAGUGCAGAAGGGGAGAGUGGAAUUACAUGUGUAGCGGUGAAAUGAGUAGAUAUAUGGAGGAACACCGGUGGCGAAAGCGGCUCUCUGGUCUGUAACUGACGCUGAGGCUCGAAAGCGUGGGGAGCGAACAGG
rnacentral:rRNA from 1 species